rnacentral:tRNA from 1 species
UCCUGGGUAGCUUAGUGGUAAAGAAUCUGCCUGCCAAUUCAGGAGACACAGGUUCCAUUCCUGGUUCGGGAA